CAAUAUCUAAGGUUCCCUUAUCAGGAAAAGCAGGGUAAUAUUCUUUUAUAGUUUGUAAAAGCUGAAUGAGAUGCUGUUUCUUCACUGUUCAUCCUGU